rnacentral:rRNA from 1 species
UACGUAGGGUGCGAGCGUUAAUCGGAAUUACUGGGCGUAAAGUGUGCGCAGGUGGCCGCGCAAGUCGAGUGUGAAAUCCCCGAGCUUAACUUGGGAAUUGCGCUCGAAACUACGUGGCUAGAGUGUGGCAGAGGGAGGUGGAAUUCCACGUGUAGCGGUGAAAAUGCGUAGAGAUGUGGAGGAACACCAAUGGCGAAGGCAGCCUCCUGGGCCAACACUGACACUCAUGCACGAAAGCGUGGGGAGCAAACAGG